rnacentral:lncRNA from 1 species
AUGGUUGCGUCAGGAUCGGAAUUCGGAAUCUUCUUUCCGAAGAGCUUUCUCCACCCAGGAUGCCACUGGGAGGGUGGCAGAGGUGAAGCGGGCGGGGAGGCCAGGGCCUCUCUAGGAGGAGGCCAAGGAGGCCGCGUGCGGCCGGGGGCCCCCGGCCCCGGGGCGGCAGCCCAGCGCCCAGCAGUCCUGGCGGAAGCGGCGCACGGAGAAGCAGUAGAUGAGCGGGUCCAGGCAGCUGUUGAGGCUCAGCAGCGCCAGGCUGAGGGUGUGCAGGACGUCGAGCGUGGAGGCGGCCCGGCACCCGCCGCCGUCGCCGUCCGCGGCGCCCUCCUGCCCGGCCACCCAGGGCGCCAGCAGCAAGUGGUAGGGCGCCAGGCAGAGGGCGAAGACGAGCAGGAGGCCCAGCACCAUGGUCCUGGCGGCGCGCCGGUGCGGUCCGGCGGGGACCGGGCCCGGGCCCGAGGGCGCCGCGAGCGCCCGGGCCAGGCUCACGUAGGCCGCGAGCACCAGCAGGAAGGCGGCGGCGAAGAAGGCCACGGGGGCGUAGGCCAGGCCGGCGCGCGCCCCGCCGUGCUCGAGGCAGCGGGUGGCACCGCCCGGGCCGGGGCGCAGCGCGCGAGGGGCGGCCAGCGAGGGCGCGGCGCAGGCCAGGCCGGCCAGCCAGGCGGCGGCGCAGGCGGCGCGCGCGGGGCCCCGGCGGCGCAGCGAGAGGAGGCCGGCCACCCCGGGCCGGGGACCGCGCACCGCGCCGCAGCGGCACACGCUGAUGAGCGCCGCGAAGGCCACGGCCGCGUAGGUGGCCGCGCAGUAGGCAGCCCCGGCGGCGCGGCACGCGGCCUCCGGGAAGGGCCAGUGGGCCGGGCCCAGGUAGUAGGCGAGCCACAGCGGCAGCGUGAGCGUGAAGAGCACGUCGGCCAGGGCCAGGUUGAGCAGGUAGAGACGCAGGGCCUGGCCCAGGCGCCUGCCGCUGCGGACGAACACUGCCAGCGCGGCCACGUUGGCGGGCAGCCCCAGGCCCAGCGCCAAGGCGUAGGCCGUGGGCACCACGAUGAAGCGAGCAGGGUCAUCCCAGGGGCUGCAGCCACCAACACCCAGGUCCCCAACACUGCUGUUCAUCUCGGACCUUGGUCAAGGGAGAAGAAGAGAGGUCACUGUGGAGCCUCGCCACAGAAGCAGCCCUGCAUCCACCUUCCCCACCACCAGUCCCCUCUUCCUCAGGCCUUGCUGGGAGGAGACACGAGAAGUAAGGAAGUCCUGAGAAGUAAGGAAGUCCUGAGCUCGGCCAGCACCCGCUGGGGCUGGAGAGGGGAGGGACUCUAG